rnacentral:rRNA from 1 species
AUGAAUUUGGUGCUUGCACCAGAUGAAACUAGAUACAAGCGAGCGGCGGACGGGUGAGUAACACGUGGGUAACCUGCCCAAGAGACUGGGAUAACACCUGGAAACAGAUGCUAAUACCGGAUAACAACACUAGACGCAUGUCUAGAGUUUAAAAGAUGGUUCUGCUAUCACUCUUGGAUGGACCUGCGGUGCAUUAGCUAGUUGGUAAGGUAACGGCUUACCAAGGCAAUGAUGCAUAGCCGAGUUGAGAGACUGAUCGGCCACAUUGGGACUGAGACACGGCCCAAACUCCUACGGGAGGCAGCAGUAGGGAAUCUUCCACAAUGGACGCAAGUCUGAUGGAGCAACGCCGCGUGAGUGAAGAAGGGUUUCGGCUCGUAAAGCUCUGUUGGUAGUGAAGAAAGAUAGAGGUAGUAACUGGCCUUUAUUUGACGGUAAUUACUUAGAAAGUCACGGCUAACUACGUGCCAGCAGCCGCGGUAAUACGUAGGUGGCAAGCGUUGUCAGGAUUUAUUGGGCGUAAAGCGAGUGCAGGCGGUUCAAUAAGUCUGAUGUGAAAGCCUUCGGCUCAACCGGAGAAUUGCAUCAGAAACUGUUGAACUUGAGUGCAGAAGAGGAGAGUGGAACUCCAUGUGUAGCGGUGGAAUGCGUAGAUAUAUGGAAGAACACCAGUGGCGAAGGCGGCUCUCUGGUCUGCAACUGACGCUGAGGCUCGAAAGCAUGGGUAGCGAACAGG